rnacentral:tRNA from 1 species
GACACUUUGGCCGAGUGGUUAAGGCGGUGCCCUGCUACUAGCAUGCUCUAGUGAGGCAUUACAUUCGUGUGCGUAGGUUCGAAUCCUGCAGGUGUCG